UGCAAGUCGAGCGCGCCCUUCGGGGUGAGCGGCGGACGGGUUAGUAACGCGUGGGAAUAUACCCUUUGGUACGGAAUAGCCUCUGGAAACGGAGAGUAAUACCGUAUGUGCCCUUCGGGGGAAAGAUUUAUCGCCAAAGGAUUAGCCCGCGUUAGAUUAGGUAGUUGGUGGGGUAAUGGCCUACCAAGCCUACGAUCUAUAGCUGGUUUUAGAGGAUGAUCAGCAACACUGGGACUGAGACACGGCCCAGACUCCUACGGGAGGCAGCAGUGGGGAAUCUUGGACAAUGGGGGCAACCCUGAUCCAGCCAUGCCGCGUGAGUGAUGAAGGCCUUAGGGUCGUAAAGCUCUUUCGCCUGUGAAGAUAAUGACGGUAGCAGGUAAAGAAACCCCGGCUAACUCCGUGCCAGCAGCCGCGGUAAUACGGAGGGGGUUAGCGUUGUUCGGAAUUACUGGGCGUAAAGCGCACGUAGGCGGAUCGGAAAGUUGGGGGUGAAAUCCCGGGGCUCAACCCCGGAACUGCCUCCAAAACUAUCGGUCUAGAGUUCGAGAGAGGUGAGUGGAAUUCCGAGUGUAGAGGUGAAAUUCGUAGAUAUUCGGAGGAACACCAGUGGCGAAGGCGGCUCACUGGCUCGAUACUGACGCUGAGGUGCGAUAGUGUGGGGAGCAAAACA
rnacentral:rRNA from 1 species